ACUGGUUGUGCCUGUCCCUUCAAACAGUUCUCUAUUCUUCCUCACUUCAUCCCCUACGAGCCUCCUACCUCUCUCGCAGAAAAGGCAGCAGCAGCGGCGGCGGCGAAGGUUUAUUGAUCUGCAGCGGCGGCGAAGAGCGAGAGACCCGCCGAAAGCGAGACACAGAGAAAAGGAGUGAGAGAGACACACAGCGAGAGGGGAGAUUAAGAGACCUAUUCACUGCGAGAGGAAUGGGAGAGAGACACAGCGAAAGAGCGGGGUCCAGAAACCGAGAGAAAGAGGGAAGAGAAUGAGAACGGAGAGAAACUUGGAGAAAGGGGGAGAUGUAGAGGCCGAUCCAGAGAGGCCCACAGUCAGCGGAGACGGAGAUGGAGAGACGCAAAGGAGAAUAUCAGGGACAGGGCAGGGAGGAAACAGAGAAAGACCAAUAGGGACAUAGUAGAGCCUCAAUAAAUAUUUGUUGAAUGAA